rnacentral:lncRNA from 1 species
CAACGUUCGGGAACCGGUCCCUGCCUGCCAGGGACCGGUCUCAUCAGAGACCCCCGCAGCCCAGCCUGAUGGGACCGGUCCCUCCCUGCUAGGGACCGGUCACCGAGAGCAUUUCUGCUCGAGUGCAGAUUUCGCACUGGUGCUCCCGCGGACCUUUUUCUUAAUGCGUUUUUGACAUUAUAAUCACCUUCGGACUUUCCGAAGCUUACGCACUCGACAAAUA